rnacentral:rRNA from 1 species
UAGGGAAAUCUUCCACAAUGGACGAAAGUCUGAUGGAGCAACGCCGCGUGAGUGAAGAAGGGUUUCGGCUCGUAAAGCUCUGUUGGUAGUGAAGAAAGAUAGAGGUAGUAACUGGCCUUUAUUUGACGGUAAUUACUUAGAAAGUCACGGCUAACUACGUGCC